CUAGUAACGGCGAGUGAAGCGGCAACAGCUCAAAUUUGAAAUCUGGCUCCUUGGGGCCCGAGUUGUAAUUUGUAGAGGAUGCUUUUGGCGCGGUGCCUUCCGAGUUCCCUGGAACGGGACGCCUUAGAGGGUGAGAGCCCCGUACGGUUGGACACCAAGCCUCUGUAAAGCUCCUUCGACGAGUCGAGUAGUUUGGGAAUGCUGCUCUAAAUGGGAGGUAAAUUUCUUCUAAAGCUAAAUAUUGGCCAGAGACCGAUAGCGCACAAGUAGAGUGAUCGAAAGAUGAAAAGCACUUUGAAAAGAGGGUUAAAUAGCACGUGAAAUUGUUGAAAGGGAAGCGUUUGCGACCAGACCUUUUCCUAGCGGAUCAUCCGGUGUUCUUCGCCGGUGCACUUCGCUAGGUCGAGGCCAGCAUCGGUUUCUGCAGGGGGAUAAAAGCCCAGGGAACGUAGCUCUUUCGGGAGUGUUAUAGCCCUCCGCAUAAUACCCUUGCGGGGACCGAGGACCGCG
rnacentral:rRNA from 1 species